GGCUGCAAAACCUGUUUGCCCAGCACGGGGAUAUUGAGUUCUAUAAGAUAAAGCCAUAAACAUGUUUGUCUGAGUCUUCUAUCAAAAGUUACAGCGAUUUAUAUGAAGUUGUUCAAAAACGCUUUCUUUCGCCAAGACAGUGUGUUUCUCACUGUUACAUGCAUUUGAAUGGGAAACUCGCCUGAAACAAAGUAUAGGUUUUCAUUAUGUGAAUAAUUUUAAAAUCUUAGCUCAAACGGCUGCAAAACCUGUUUGCCCAGCACGGGGAUAUUGAGUUCUAUAAGAUAAAGCCAUAAACAUGUUUGUCUGAGUCUUCUAUCAAAAGUUACAGCGAUUUAUAUGAAGUUGUACAAAAACGCUUUAUUUCGCCAAGACAAUGCGUUUCUCACUGUUACAUGCAUUUGAAUGGGAAACUCGCCUGAAACAAAGUAUAGGUUUUCAUUAUGUGAAUAAUUUUAAAAUCUUAGCUCAAACGGCUGCAAAACCUGUUUGCCCAGCACGGGGAUAUUGAGUUCUAUAAGAUAAAGCCAUAAACAUGUUUGUCUGA
ensembl:lncRNA